UACGAAGGGGGCUAGCGUUGCUCGGAAUCACUGGGCGUAAAGCGCACGUAGGCGGAUUGUUAAGUCAGGGGUGAAAUCCUGGAGCUCAACUCCAGAACUGCCUUUGAUACUGGCGAUCUCGAGUCCGGGAGAGGUGAGUGGAACUGCGAGUGUAGAGGUGAAAUUCGUAGAUAUUCGCAAGAACACCAGUGGCGAAGGCGGACUCACUGGCCCGGUACUGACGCUGAGGUGCGAAAAGCGUGGGGAGCAAACAGGG
rnacentral:rRNA from 1 species